GAGCGUCCGCCUGCGGACUGAAGGGUCCUGGGUUCGAUUCCGGUCAAGGGCACAAACCUCUGUUGCAGGGUCCUCCCCGGCCCUGGGCUCUGGUCGGGGCUCCUGUAGGAGGCAACCAAUCAAUGUGUUUCUCUCCCAUCGAUGUUUCUCUCUGUCUCUCCCUCUCUCCUCCACUCU